rnacentral:rRNA from 1 species
UACGGAGGGUGCAAGCGUUAUCCGGAUUUACUGGGUUUAAAGGGUGCGUAGGUGGGUAGGUAAGUCAGUGGUGAAAUCUUCGGGCUUAACCCGGAAACUGCCAUUGAUACUAUUUAUCUUGAAUACUUCGGAGGUAAGCGGAAUAUGUCAUGUAGCGGUGAAAUGCUUAGAUAUGACAUAGAACACCAAUUGCGAAGGCAGCUUACUACACAGUUAUUGACACUGAGGCACGAAAGCGUGGGGAUCAAACAGG